rnacentral:rRNA from 1 species
AUGACGUCAAGUCCUCAUGGCCUUUAUGACCAGGCUACACACGUACUACAAGUGGACCGGUACAAAGGGCAGCGACACAGCGAUGUGAAGCCAAUACCCGAAAAGCCGGUCUCAGUCCGGAUUGGAGUCUGCAACUCGACUCCAUGAAGUUGGAAUCGCUAGUAAUCGGCGGAUCAGCACGCCGCGGUGAAUACGUUCCCGGGCCUU